GCGGCCGUGGCGAAGUGGUUAACGCACCGGAUUGUGGCUCCGGCACGCAUGGGUUCGAUCCCCAUCGGUCGCC
rnacentral:tRNA from 1 species